ensembl:lncRNA
AUUAUCAGUUUACCUGGAUUAGGAAAAGCAGAAUAAUAAUUUUUCUGAAGCUGCUUCCUCCUCAGUAGUAGUUUGAGUAGUAAGAAAGUAGAACUUUUCUGUCUCCAAUUGAUGCAAAAAAUGCCAGUUAGGCCUUGACUCAAUGGUUCUGAUUAAUUGUACUCAUUUUAGAGUAAGUCAGAUCUUAACCAGGAUUUUCCUUGUUAUGCAGACGGCUGGCAGAGGAAGCUGCGGGGUCAGUCAGUGGUCCGCUGCCCGCGAAACGGCUAGAAAAGCCAAUAGACUGGACGAGGAGGGGCUUGAAGUGGUCGUCUGCAGGCAUGGGUUGCUUCUAAAGGCAGUCAACAUGUUCAGAGGCGAAAUAUUUGCCUAUCCACUUUUCCUGCAGAAGGAGCUUCAGGCAGCCACAGGCGGGCAGUUCUAUUGCACGGAUAUUGCCUGCAAGUACUGGCCCUACCUUGAGAGAUUGGCAGUCUCCAUGCUGGAACUGACCCCUUUAUUGCAGAUGAGACCAUUCCUCUCCGUCAUGCAUGCCAAAGCCCACUCAACAAAGUGUGAGGUAUUGUUGUCAUGAUACUGGAAUUGUAAUUAUCAGGAAUUGUAAGUAUGGAACAAGGCUUGUUUAUUGUGUGAAGAACAAUAGUAUGUAAGUUAAUUUACUUUUGGCGGUGGUACUAAGUAGGCUUUACAGUGGUGCAAUUUGACAACCUUUGUUUAAGAGGAGGGCGAAAAAAACGCAGUCAAUACUGGUAUAUUGAUACUGAAAAAAAACGAAAGAAAGAGUUUAAACCAUUUUAAAUAUUCUGUAUCGAUAUGUAUUAUAUUUUAGCGCCUUUGACAAUGCAUGUGUUUGUGUAUAAAACUGGAAAGAUAAUCUGGAGUGGCAGAAAUCAAGAGGGUGCUGGCACAACUGCAGGAGAAGAGGUUGAAAUGGUGAACAGCUACCUUUCUCGUUGUGGCCUCACAACCAAGUACAUGACCAAAUCUGCCAGGAAUGACAUGCUGACCAUACAUGCCAUUGGGUGGAACAAGCGGAAGCAAGAUGGUCUACAUCUUGCUUUGUCUUGCAGAUAUGUCAAGACACUGCAAAAGGCUGAGGCUGCGUCUCAGAAAUUACGUGAUUUGUGCAGUGACCUUGACUGCCCUGAGGACAUGGUGCACCAGUGGGUAGAGGACGUGAGACAGUGGGCGAAGGCUGAUGCUGUAGGUUCCGGUUCUGAUGACCAGCACCAGCUUCAAAAAUCAAUUGAAGAGAUCUUUCUUGGGGUUCAUCAGAAAAAAGCGAACCUCUACAAUCAGACCGACAGCAACAAAAUUCGUCAUUUAAGGCGAAGAAAACUCUGGACAGAGAAGAAAAAAACUCUUCGAAAAAAUCAGGCUUUAUAAUCAGCAGGUGCCAGAGGAGGAGCGCAUUGUUGAGGAGAAGGUGGAAGGAAAGCUUUCAUUGUUGGGGGGGAAAUGAUGAGGAAGACAGUCUGAUCUGGCCAUGGGAGAUGCACAGCAGUGGAAUCAGCAAUAUCGCUAAGAAAAAGAGGAUAUUCGAUGCAUGCAUGGCCAAAAUGCGUGUCCAAGAAGAAAAAGUCAUCCUUGUCAGAGAGAUGAGAAACCACUGCGCCUACCUGAACCAGCUGGCUGGGAGCAUCAGGAAAAUGACAACAGAAAUGUCUUCUGGUGAAAGCAGAGGAAAUGUAAGUGAAGAAGGCCAUCGGGGAUUGAUUUGUCUUCUUCGAAAAAGGCUUUUAGAUCUGGAGGAAAAACUCCAAGCUGUGUGUGCAAGGUACCGUCAGGCUUUGGGACCAGAUGCUAAUUCCCUGCUUCAAGAUGUCCCCGAAGAAGACAUCCAAGAGCAACACGAUGACCUGCAAUUAACACUCGCAUGGUGAUGCUUCAUAACCCCUAAUCCUACAGAGAAUCCUACACCCUCGAGGUAAGUGGGAAAAAAAAGUGUGUCAUAAAAUUGACAAUACCGAAGUUAUUUUCCAUGCCAUCACUUCAGGUAACAAUCAAACUAGAUUCUGCAGUGUAUUUAAAUUGCCUCCCUCAUGAUGUAAUGUUUUUGUCUGUCUUCUUGAAAAUAAAAAGUGAAAUUGUUAA